rnacentral:rRNA from 1 species
GCUUCACGAAGUCGGGUUGCAGACUUCGAUCCGAACUGAGAGAGGCUUUUGGGAUUAGCAUCCUGUCACCAGGUAGCUGCCUUCUGUACCCCCCAUUGUAACACGUGUGUAGCCCCGGACGUAAGGGCCGUGCUGAUUUGACGUCAUCCCCACCUUCCUCACAUCUUACGACGGCAGUCUCUCUAGAGUCCUCAGCAUGACCUGUUAGUAACUAAAGAUAAGGGUUGCGCUCGUUAUGGCACUUAAGCCGACACCUCACGGCACGAGCUGACGACAACCAUGCAGCACCUUCACAUUUGCCUUACGGCUAUACUGUUUCCAGUAUAUUCAAAUGCAAUUUAAGCCCGGGUAAGGUUCCUCGCGUAUCAUCGAAUUAAACCACAUGUUCCUCCGCUUGUGCGGGCCCCCGUCAAUUCCUUUGAGUUUCACCGUUGCCGGCGUACUCCCCAGGUGGAAUACUUAAUGCUUUCGCUUGGCCGCUUACUGUAUAUCGCAAACAGCGAGUAUUCAUCGUUUACUGUGUGGACUACCAGGGUAUCUAAUCCUGUUUGAUACCCACACUUUCGAGCAUCAGUGUCAGUUGCAGUCCAGUGAGCUGCCUUCGCAAUCGGAGUUCUUCGUGAUAUCUAAGCAUUUCACCGCUACACCACGAAUUCCGCCCACCUCUACUGUACUCAAGACAGCCAGUAUCAACUGCAAUUUUACGGUUGAGCCGCAAACUUUCACAACUGACUUAACUGUCCACCUACGCUCCCUUUAAACCCAAUAAAUCCGGAUAACGCUCGGAUCCUCCGUAUUACCGCGGCUGCUGGCACGGAGUUAGCCGAUCCUUAUUCAUAUGGUACAUACAAAAUUCCACACGUGGAAAACUUUAUUCCCAUAUAAAAGAAGUUUACAACCCAUAGGGCAGUCAUCCUUCACGCUACUUGGCUGGUUCAGGCCUGCGCCCAUUGACCAAUAUUCCUCACUGCUGCCUCCCGUAGGAGUUUGGACCGUGUCUCAGUUCCAAUGUGGGGGACCUUCCUCUCAGAACCCCUAUCCAUCGAAGGUUUGGUGAGCCGUUACCUCACCAACUGCCUAAUGGAACGCAUCCCCAUCGAUAACCGAAAUUCUUUAAUAACAAGACCAUGCGGUCUAAUUAUACCAUCGGGUAUUAAUCUUUCUUUCGAAAGGCUAUCCCCG